UCGAUAUGGUUAGUUGUAAAUUAUGCAAUUCAGCUCCAGGGCUGCAGUGUAAAUUUCUUAUUAAAUUUAUCUAUCUAUUUAGUACUAAACAAAUGGGCUGUGUAACUCAGUUGAUUCGAGCCUGCGCCGGAAUUGCAGGAUUACAGGUUCAAUUCCUACCAGAGGACGUACACAUAUGCCAAUUAGGUAAAUGCAUGAAUGCAGAAAAUGAAAGUUUCAACAGCUAUUUAGAGAAAUGGAAAUUGAGCAAUUUUUUUUUUUUUGAUAUUGGACGAUUAAUAAAACACAUUACAAAUUUCUCGCCUAUGAACUCAAAAUUCGUUUUAAACUUUUAAAUUUCGUGCGCAAGCUAUUUUUAAUGCUGCUAAAAAAGACACCCCCCUGCUCUGGAAAUUGUUUAUUCUAUAUUAUAAGUACCCAAACAAUCUAUAUUUAAAAAAAAUAUCAUGACAUCAGCAGAUUUGUGAAAUUGAGAACUGUUUCAAAAUUGUCUACUUUUUUUCUGAUACACCCUGACUUUGUAGAGUAUUCGAUGUAUUGUUGAUUAGGAUUACACUUUGCACGAAAUACUUCUAUAAUUUCUCUUUUGUAGGUCACCAGUUAUGGCUGGGGGACUCUUUGCAAUCAGUAAGCGUUUUUUUGACAAACUUGGUCAAUAUGAUCCAGGCAUGGAGGUGUGGGGCGGUGAACAAUAUGAAUUAUCGUUUAAG